rnacentral:rRNA from 1 species
AUGCCCUUACAACUGUGGAAGCUUAAAAUCCCUCUAAGAGUGAAGAUAUUCCUCUGGUUCCUAAACAGAAGGGUCAUCUUAACUAGAGAUAAUCUGGCACGACACAACUGGUAAGGCACCAAGACAUGUGUCUUUUGCCAACAUAACGAGUCUAUUAAACACUUAUUUUUUGAGUGUAAGUUUGCUCGGUCGGUUUGGUCCAUAGUUCAAGUAGCUUCAAAAUAUACCCCCACGUAG